rnacentral:lncRNA from 1 species
ACAACAGCAUCAAGUAAUGGUUGAACGCCCUUAUUUUUGAAAGCUGAACCACAUAACACAGGGACAAAACUGCCAGCAAUGGUUCCUUUCCGGAUUAAUUUUUUGAUGGUUUCUUCGUCUGGCUCAUUUCCUUCCAGAUAGCUUUCCAUAGCUUCAUCAUCCAAUUCAACAAUGGUUUCUAUCAUCUGUGACCGGUAUUCUUGAGCCAUUUUCUGAAGAUCAGCUGGUAUAUCCUCGUAAGCAAACUUUGCACCCAAUUCCUCUCCUGACCAUAUUAUAGCUUUCAUCUUCACAAGAUCAACAACUCCCUUAAAGUUAUCUUCUGCACCAACAGGCAAUUGAACUACAAGUGGUUUAGCUCCCAAGUUUGUAACUAUCAUAUCUCUUGUGCGGAAAAAGUUUGCUCCCAAACGAUCCAUCUUGUUGACAAAGCAGAUUCUGGGAACUCCAUACUUGUCAGCUUGCCUCCACACAGUUUCAGAUUGAGGCUCCACACCAGCAACACUGUCAAACAAGCAGAUAGCACCAUCCAGAACCCUGAGAGCACGCUCCACUUCAAGUGUGAAGUCAACAUGGCCAGGAGUAUCAAUGAUGUUAAUCCGGUGUUUGUUCCAAUAUGCAGUAGUUGCAGCAGAAGUAAUGGUAAUCCCUCUCUCUUGCUCUUGUUCCAUCCAGUCCAUUGUAGCUGUUCCCUCAUGUACCUCCCCAAUUUUAUAGUUUCUUCCUGUAUAGAAUAGGACUCGUUCAGUUGUAGUAGUCUUCCCUGCAUCUAUGUGAGCCAUUAUACCAAUAUUCCGAUAAUCUUUCAAGGGGAUCACACGUUUUGACUCUGCAAAAAAGAUAAAUGAAAUCCACUUCUGCCGUUAGCCUAAACCCAGAAACCAAAACAACCAUCAAAAUAAAAACUCAUCCUCUUACAAGCAAACAUUAAAGUAAGAAUCCAAAAAUAACACUGUUGCAGAAGAAUAAAGAUCAAAAUUUUCAAUACCAUAAUGACGCCUUUGCUUUUCCAUGAUAGAUAAGGCCAUAUAAUAUCAACAAAAGAAUCCGGUACUCCAAAGUAAGAUGAAUGCAUAUUACUUGUGUUACAACUAUUCAUCGCAAUAAUUUCCCAGUUUCACAAAACGUAAUUCUGAAUACCACCUUCUACUUCUCCAACUUUUAUAUCGUUUAAACCCUGAGUAACAUUAUUAUUUUUUAGACUAAUGAAUAUAUUACAGCCAAAUUUUCCAAAAUAAAUUAAAAACUCGUCUUCAAUACCAUUAAGAUAGUGUACAAAAAAAAGAAAAAAAGAAAAGAAAUUUUGCGGUGAAACUUGAAGAAUUAAAUAAAGGGUAUACCGAAAUUAAUCCAAAGAAAGGAAAUUGAUCUAACGAAGCAAUAAUUAACACCGAUUUAAGGGAAAGAGAGGAACCUUCAGCGGCCAUAGCAAAAACAGAGAAUUGUCUUCUGCUUCUGGGAGAGAGCUUGGAAGUAGAACGGGGGCUGAAGACACACACGCUUCCCAAGAAAUGGGAAGCUGGAGAAGGGAGGAGACCCAGAGAGCGAGGGACAGUCACAGGCACAGGCACAGGCCUCCUUUGAGAGCCAUUCAUAGCGAAGUUGCAUACUGCCGAUGAACAUGAAGCCGUUAUCAUUCUCUCUGCUGCCAUGUUUAGUUUUUCACUUUAACACCAGUGGACUCAACUGUGAACUGUUAAGUGACGGAGUCUCACUGGCCACUCGCCAGGGAUAAAAGAUAAAGUAAGCGGUUGUAAUUCAGUUCUGGUUUUGGUUAUGUUCUCUUCUCUUCUCUUCUUCACUUCACCCUUUAAGGCUAACACUUGAGCGAGGCCUAUCUUUUGUUGUUUUCUUCAAGUGGCCUGUGCGCUUGGAAAAUUAAGAGCCAUUUAUAUGAAACAUUUAUUUUUUUAUUUUCAUAUUUUCGAUAAUUGAUUUCUGAUUUAUUUUCUGGUAUUGAAAAGAUUAUUAUUGUUUUUAAUUUAAUUUUUAAAACAUAGUGAAAAGUAAAGGUAUAUCCUUUAAAAAUUAAUAUUCAAUUAACAAAAAAAAUUUCUAAUCGUUUUGCAUCUUUCUAAUAAUAAUACAUUUUCUUUUCUCUUGCUUUAUCAUAAUAAUCUUCAGCAAAUUACAUAUUUGUACAAGUACGCAGCCUCCUCAAGUAUAAGGUUCGAAAUUUUGAAUUGAAAAUUGUUUUUAAGGAAUGAAUUGAAAAUAAUGAUAAUAAGGGUUUAUUACAUUAAUAACAGGAUCCGGCUAUAUUGCAGCUGUGGUAUUAUACUACAGUUACAACUAACCAUUUGAUCCACUUAAAUGAGGGUAUAACAUUAAAUUUAAGUGGAUCCAAUAACUGAUUACAAUUAUAAUACUAUACCAUAAUUGUAACAUAGCCAAUUCCUUAAUAAUGUGAAAGACAGCCAAAAUGCAAAGAAGAAAAUGGGAUAUAAGGGCUGAAAAGCUGCCACAUAACUAGAAUUCAUGUCCUCAUAUUUUACUUGAGAGAGGUGGGACAGUGGCAUGUACAGGAGAUGAAACUGAAUAGACAUAUUGCUGCUUGUGAGCCUAUCCAAUCAUGAAGCUGGGAUUUCAUGCACGUGUGGAUGAAUGCACACGAUUCACGAACUGAAAUUUUCGGUGAUGAGGGACCCGGCACAUGCGGUCUGGGUAAAACCCGGCCCGCAUGCAUGAAAAAAGCGGAUCCGGGCAUUGAUUUUCAAUGCCCGGCUGUUUCCGGGCACGGGUCCGGUCACAGCACCAAGUACCCGGCACCCGGACCCGUGCCCGCUUUUUAUUAAGUAAAAAAAAAAAAGAGGAAAAUAUAAAAACCAAAAUUGCAUUUUUCCUUUACCCAAUUUCCCCCAAAGUCCCAAACCCAACCGGCCAACCAGUGAACCAACCCUAAAUCGCGAAUUUGAGACAAAUCUCAGAAAUCAGAAUCGGCACCUCCUCCCUUCGUCUCUCCACCAUUACCGGCAGCCACCACCUAUCCUUCACCGAUGGCGAUGCAGUAUUGACAGUUGACCGCGCCUCUCCCUCCACGAACCGCAAAGCACAGUCGUCACUCGUCAGUCCGUCAAAGAGCUCUUCACUGUUUGGUCAGCUUCUUAGCGGCAGCCACCGCGCGACGGAGUUCGCCACCAAAGCUGGUCUCACACUCUCCCUCCAUUGUUUUGUCACCAUAUCAGCUGCAAGCUUGUAACCCACAGCCACGACCCACAAGGUAAUUUUUUUUUUGGCUGUUUUUUCAAUAAAAAAUGUUUCUGUGUUGUGGCUUAGCCAUUAUUGUUACUAAGUGGUAAAGCUAACAUCAACCGACGCCACAGGAGGUUGAUUGAAAGAUAAUGCUAAAUCAUAAUGACCCACAAUGAGAAAAUCUUCUAAUUAAGCUAGACCUCCCCCCGUUUCUUCAUCAUUUUUAUGUGCCUUUGAGUUGAGAGUUAGGUCUGUGGAAUUUAUGAACAAAAAAUGUGUGUAAAGCAUCAUAUUGCACAAUGGCAAUGUAGAAAGCUAAGACUUCCUGCCGAAAUUAGGAAUCUUAUUGGCGCCACAAUUAAUAGGGUGCCUUGGUUUGGUGCAUGAGCCACUCUUUUUGAAGUUUUAAAUGCUGAAUUUCGGUUGACGAAAUGUCAAGGUUAGCGGCACAUGGGUCUGUUUGAUCAACAAUGAGACCUAUGGCAGCCCCUGAUCAUUGAUCAGGACACAUGGGUUCCAGAUAUAACUGGAAAAAAAAUUAAUCACUUAGAUGAAUGUGAAGCAUAUGCUUUCAAUAUAUGCUUAAUUAGUUUCUUGGAUGCUGGAAGUGUUUACGUUGUUAAUGGCUGCACAGAACAUAAUAAGAAAGAGCUAAUGUUAAACACCCUCAUUAUGCUGUUGUAGUAGUUUUUCUAUUUCAUAUGUGUGUUUUGUUUGGAAUAUGUUUGAUCUUAUUUAUCUGCAAACUGCAAUCAUUUUGAUAUAGCUCACAGUUCUCAAUUUACAGCUGAUCAAUUGAACAAUUUCUGGCAUUAAGAAAGAAUUGGCUCACAUUAAGAAUUUCUGUAAAAUGGGAAAUGCAAUUGCUCCAGAAAUUUCUCAGUUGUUUAUUUAUUUAUAUGUCUGGUCUUUCUUCUGUGCACAUAAGCUUUGUCAUGAUUUAGUGAAAGAAUAUGAAAUGAAAGCUGUGGUUUUGAGUGAUAGGUAGGAUGUUGGGUUGGAAGAUGUUCCUUCGGAAUCUUCUUUGAAUCCGAAUAAGUAUUGGGAUGUAGAUGAGUUUGAAACAUUUCGGAGUCGAAAUAAGCGUGUUAAGGUGACUAAGUCAGAGUUGGAUAGGUAUUUAGAUGAUGAAUUAUUGGAUACUAUUCCGAACUUUGAUAUUUUAGCUUUUUGGAAGAUGCACACAGGCCAAUAUCCUAUUUUGGGCGAGUUGGCUAAGGAUAUCUUAGCCAUUCCUGUAUCCAUUGUUGCCUCUGAGUCCGCUUUUAGUACCGGAGGCAGAUUUUUGAGUCCGCAUCGUAGUAGACUUCAUCCUAACACUUUGGAAUCCUUAAUGUGUGCUCAAAAUUGGAUUUGGGCUUCUUCUCGAGGUAUAAAGUUAUUUGAAUUAUGUUAUCGUAUUAUUUGUUUGCUCAAAAUGUUUUUAAAUCUUAAUCUGUUAUUUUUGUUAUUAGGUGAAGUUCCGGAAAAUGAGAUUUUUGCUGGGGAGGAGUUAAUUUCAGAUGAUGAUGAUGAUGAUGGGGCACAAUCGUCGAGCUGCUUGACAUAAUCUGUUAUUUUAAACUCUUUUAUGAAUUAUGUUUGUUUGAUAUUUUGGGAUUUUUAUUUGUUAUGUUGGUUAUUGAUAUUGGAGUUAUUAUGAUAUGUUUUAUGUAAUAUGUUGGGUGUUAGUAUGCUACAUUUAUUUAGAUUUAUUUGGUGAUUAUUGUGAUGUUCAAUUUAAAUUUUUGAUAGGGAUUGAAUGAAUUUAGUUUAGAAAUUGAAUAAAUUUAGGUAGUGGAUAAUAGAUUGAAAUGAUUUUUAUUUGUUAUUUACUUAAAUUUAUAAAGUAGAUUGAAAUUGAAAUAGUUAAGAUGUUGUAAUAAUUUAUUAUAGAAUUUUUUCCUUUUUUAAUUUUGAUAAUUCCGUUAGAUUUUGGACUGUUAUGGUUUGUUAGAAUUUAGAAGUAAAUAAUUAUUUUGACACCUUUUAUUUAUUCUUUUUUGGCGUGUGAUUUGCCUUUUAAUUUUUGUGUGUUGUGAGAAAUGAUGGUUUUUGCAAGUUGGGUUUGCAGUGAAUUUUGAAUCAAUAUGUAAUAUGUGCGUUUCUGAUUUUGUCCCAUAUAUUAUGACCACUCAAAGUCUCAAAUUCAUCACCAUUCACCACUCAAAUCCGGGUAGGGAAAACCCGGAAAAAACCCGUGCCCGGAUAGUGCCGGGUAUGUGCCCAGCCCGCAUAGAAAAAUUCCGGGCACGGUGCGGGUCCGGGUAGCUACAUUUGAUAUCCGGGUCGGUCCCGGGCAGCCCCAAACCCGGACCCGACCCGGACUUUUGCCAUCUCUAGUGAUGAGGCGGGUCGAUCUCGGACAUCACUUGAAAAAUCCAAAUUUAAUUCGAAAUCUGAAUUUUAUUAAAAAUAUAUUAUGAAAUAUAUAUUAUUUUAAGUAAUUUUGUUUAUUUGAUCCAUCUAAUAUAUAUAUUUAAAAUUUUAAACAUUUAAAAUUUAUAUUUUUAUGUCUAGUUUUAUUAAAAUAAAUUUAGAAAUUAUGAAACUAUAAGAUAAAUAAAAAAAAGGUUAUUUUCUGUCAGCCCGUACAUAUUUCAACAAAAGUUGGCGUGCACCCUAAUGUUUCAACAUCCAUCACCACGCCCCCAAAUCAGCAUAUCCAAUUGUUAUCUUUCACGGUAGUAGGGCAAAAUUAAGAUUUGACAUUUUUUUUCAGUCUUUAUAUUACUCUCUUCAAUAGUGAAGAGAGUUUCUUCUUCCUAACAAGCUUGUGUGUGUUUUUUGUGUUACACUCUUGUAAAAAUAUAGUUCUAUUGAGAGUAGUUGCAGCCUCCUAAUAAUUCAUAAUUCUUUCUAAAAACUUGCAGAUUAUCCCAAGAUGGUGGCUGAAGCGAAGUUAGUGGCUGAAGAAUUGGGAAUUGAUUCUCUCUGUGAUGAAAUCUCAUUCAGGGUUGCUACCAAAAAAGACGAGAAGAGAAUCCACUUGUCUCUGGAUAGUGAAGAUGCAAUACCUGGUAAUGGGGACUGGUGUGGGAGAGUUUGGAUGCCAAAUCAGGUUCAUCCUUUUAUAGUGCAAAAGGAUCCUGAGGAACAAGAGCUAGAAAGGAGCUUUCAUGCUUGGACAACACCAGAUGAAAAUUUUGAAAGAAAACCAGAAAGUAUUUGCCAAACUCCCUCGACCUUGGUGACUAGAAAGUACAGUAGGAAGAGGAAAAUGGUAGCAGAGAGUGUGUCAACCAAAUGUAUCGAUACAGAAGAUGCAGCUUCAAAAUAUUCACUGGAGGGUGAUACUCGUCUCCAGCAAAGGAGGAUUCUUAGAAACAAUCCAGCCAAAUUAAUGGAAAAAGAAGAUGUGGACCUGCCCGAUUCAUCAGAAGUUAGUUCUUAUCAACAGAAGAGGAGUGUUUCUAGAAGAAAACAAGCCAAAUGUAUUCAGAGGGAAGUUGGAGAUUCAAAUGAUGCACUGCCAGGCAAUUCUCUUAAACAGUAUAGGAGGAUUCCUAAGAGGAAGCAUGCCAAAUGUAUUGGUAGGGAAGAUGCAGUUUUGGAUGAUUUACCUAAUGAUAGCUCCCUUAAGCAGUACAAGAGGAUUCCUAGGAGCAAGCUAGCCAAACAUGUUUCCAGAGAGGAUGAAGUUUCAGAUAAUUCACUGCGAGGUGCUUCUGAUAGGCAGCAUACAAGCAUUCCAAAAGGCAAGGAAUUCACAUGCAUUGAUAGAGGCGAUGCAAUUGCAGAUGAUUCACUGCAGGAUAAUUCUCGUCAGUUGCAGUUUAACAGGGUUCCAAAAAGAAAGCAAGCUGAAUGGAUUAAGAGAGAAGAUGCAGCUUCUGAUGAUUCACUGGAGGAUUAUCCUCAUCGCUUGCAGCAUAAAAAAAUUCCAAAUAUCAAGCAACCCAAAUGUAUCAAGAAACUCUCAUCACUACGGAAUAGAGUAAUAUAAAGACUGAAAAAAUAAAAAGAUAAAAAUAAAAUGUCAAAUCUCAAUUUUGCCCUACUACCGUGAAAGAUAACGGUUGGAUAUGCUGAUUUGGGGUGUGGUGAUGGUUGUUGAAACAUUAGGGUGCACGCCAACUUUUGUCGAAACAUAUGGGGCUGACGGAAAAUAACCCAUAAAAAAAAUACAUAUAAUUUUAUAUCAUAAAAUAUAAAAUCCAAAUUUCAAAAGUCUGGAUUUAAAAACCCGGUCCAGUACCAGGCUUUUUAAGCUUGCCCAAGCGUCUAAAGGAAGAUACCCAGGCUAGGUUUUGCUAUCUCUACCUAAAACUGCUAAAAAAUAGAAUCUAUCAUCCACUGCAAAUACAAUUCUGAAAUCAGUGGUUCGGUUCCUAAAAAACGAAGGCCUUCGAAAUCCAUUGAUAUAACGAUAUUUAGACUUCGGGCUUACUAUACCUUUACAAAAUAAAGCGUUAUUUUGGGUCUACGCCGAUUUGUUUCAAGAGUAAUACUUUCUACACCCCUUUACAUCCUUAUAUUGCCCACUUUUGUAGUCAUAGUUUUACUAUUAAGUUGGACUAUUGACACCCCUUCAUUGAUCUUAUAAAAUUCUUGUGAUAUUAUAAUUAUAUUUAAGGACAAAUAUAAAUAGAACUAGUCCCAUUUAUAUUUUCUUUCUCUCUUCAAUUUCAUUUUACUUGCACAAUAUAAAUUUUUGUAAUCAUUAAAAUAAUAUGAAUUUAAAAAUCAAUCUAUAAAUGUUUUUUAAUCAUUAAAGUAAUCUAAAUUUAAGAAGUAAUUUUUUUAAACCAAAAUAAUACUCUUGUAAAUAUGUAGCAACAAAAUUAGGAUACAACGUUGUGAGAAAAUCAAUUAAAUAAAAUUUUAUCUUACUACAAAUAACUUUUAAAGGAUUCUCAAAUUAAUUGUUACACUCAAAAUUUAUAUGUACGAUAAAAUUGUGUUGGAUCCAUAAAAUAUUCAAUAUUUAUAAGGUUUUUCUUACUUUUUUUUAGAUUUUUUUAGAAAUUAAAUAAUAAAUCAAGUUUGAAGAGAAGAAUGCAAUUAUUAAGACUGAAAAAGUGAGAAAAUUAUUAGAAAUUGUAAGAUUUAUAAAUAAAAAUAGUGUUUAUUUAGAAAAAGGGUACUUUUGACAUUAAAUGAAAUAUAAUUGAAAAGGGGGUUUCAAAAGAAUUUUGGAGGGGUGAUAAUAGUCCGACUCUUUACUAUUACCAUAAACUAUACAAGUGUGGAUCUAUUUGAACCCAUUAAAUUCCUCACUACACCUUUUUUUUAAUUAAAAUUUUUAUUAUGAGAAUAUAAUUUGAUCAACUACUUAUAUGACUUUAUUCUCUUUCUCUCCGCCUUCUUUCUUUUAUCAAAAUUUAUCAUGAUAUAUGAAGUAAAUAUUGUAUUUAACAAACAAAAUUAUUCAAAAAUUUAGCAAAAUUAGUCCUAUUGUAAUCCAAACAAAAUGAAAGAAUCAAUACCCAUCAUGAAAAAUUAAAAAUAAAAGUUCUUGUACCAUUUGGAUCUAUUAGAAUUUUUUAAAUUAAAUCUCGUAAGCACAAACUCUAAGUGAUAAUAAUGGGUAAAGAAUGGUAAUGCUAUAGCGAAAACUAAGAGAAAGAUAAAGUUGAUUUAGUAAAAAAUAAUUAAAGAAAAAUUAAAAGAGGAAAACUAUUUUAGGUUUUAACCAUUAUAAAAGCAGAGAGAGAAACUAGUUAACCAAUGGUAAUUUUAUAAUUUUUGAGAAUUAAUGAACUAAAUUAAGAAGUUAUAAUUUGAUAAUUAUUUUAAUUUUUAAAAAAUGGGUGUUGAAAGAAUGUUAAUGGGUUCAAAUAGUCCCACCCAUUAUACAAAAGAGCAAAUGUGAAUUUAAUUUAAUUAAAUAUCUUUACAAAUCAUGAACCCUAAAUAUUUUUUAUCCUAACAUAUGAUAUAAUUAUUUUUUUUAAAUCAAAAUAAUUUUAAAACGAUGAAGAAAUAAAUUAUCUAAUAACAAUAUUUUUAUUAUGAAAAAAUAUGUGUACAAAAUUUGUUCUAAAUGACAGUUAAAUUUAAUUAAAAUCUAUUGUAAUUUUAAGUUCUUUUUGUAAUUUUGCAAAAAAGAGGCAUACUUUAGUGAUAAAAAAAAAAAAAAAAAUUCAGAAGCACUAGCUUUUAGAUGGCCAUGAAAUUAUUGGAGCCUUGGGCCUCAAAGUGGAGGCCUAAAUUGAUUGAAACAAACCCAUCACCCAUGAACCCCACUUAUGCAUCGAAGUAUAACUACGACAUGUGCCCAAAAGAGAGCGCACUUUAUAAUGGUCAGGCCACGAGCCUCUUACUAAAAAAGAGUAGCAGCCACUUGGGCUUGUAGUCCAGUGGUGGAUCAUUGCCCUCAAAGUUAAGUAUGAUUAUGAGGGUAAUGGUUUGAGUCCUCACGGACUCAAUCUCCUUCAAUUAAAUAUAAUUGUGUGGAGAUUUCUUAUAACGUCUUUCUCCCUUGCGAAAUACGAGUGGAGUAGAGACAUCCCUCCUCUGUGAGGGGUAUUUGGAUGGGCAUGUACUUCAUAGAAUAAAAAUGUAAUAAUAUAAGUCUCAUGUAUAAAUAUCUGAUUGUAAAUAUCAGUGUAAUAACCUACUAUCAUAGUAGUUGUAUAUAUCUAUGUGUAAUACAGUAACAUGAUGCUUAAUCAGUUUAAAAAAAAAAAAAAAUAGCGGGCCAACUCCAACCCAUAUAGCACGUCAUAAUGCCAGAAACACACUAAUAAUAAUGGAAUGCAAACAGCUUUCCGGCUUCCCCUUUCGCAGAAUUGAAAUUAUACAAGCCUAAUAAGGGCCCAGCGUCCCAGAACUAGAUGAAUUAGAUAGGAAGGCAUGUGACUAUCUUACCGCAAGAGUUGCAGAAUACCUCUUUUUCUGGCUUCCAUUGUGAUAAGUAGGGUCCUGGGAUAUAUGAAUUAUAAGAGUUACACUUUCCAAAAUGGGAACGGAAUUGCACGUGGGUUCUUCGCAUUGAUGUGAUCAAGCUGAUUAUGUAAUGGAUUUCUUAGUAAAUAUUUGGUGCAUUAAUCUCAAUUCAAGUGGCUGAAAUCAAAUGCAGCCCUAUGUCUAAUACUAAAUAAUGAGACGAAAUUGAGCUCCCAUUGUGACACAUAUAUAGCACAAUGUCACAAACCGGCCUAUUCAAUUGUUCCAGCAUUUGAUAAUGAAUUUUGCACCAAGGAAAGGCUUCGCAGAGAUCAUUUGCUACCCUCGACAUCUUGUCACGGCUAAAUUUCUUCCAUUUAGUUUAAUAACCAUCAAGUUUACUCAAUAUUUUCACAUUAUAGACCGUCAUGAACAAACUGUCGAUGAAACAAAACAUAGCACUUCAUUUGCAUCUUUAGUUUACUAGUAGACAAUACAGAAUCACAUAUAUGCAUUAAUACAUCCAAGCCCCCACAUGCAUCCAUUUCAAUAAUUAUUGAGCAGGCGCAAACAAAAGAGGGAUUAGUUACCAAUUGCAAGCUAAAGGCAGUACUAAAAUGGCAUAAUACAGCUCCAGAAUGAGCAAUGGCUAAAUGCCUAGCUAAAAUCUCACUUAGGUGAGGUAAUUGAGGCAUAACUGUUAACCAGAGCUAAACCAUUGCUGGUCAAAUGUGCAACGUUUGAAAUCUGUCUCCGUACAGUAGCCUUAACAUUCCCAUUCAUGGAUUUCCUAGAAAAGCCAUCCAUGCAAGUAUCCUCAUUCGUUAAUGCAGCACUCACCCAUGUUUGUACAUUAUUCAUUUGGAGGGCAAAAUUACUGCGCUCAUUACGUCCCAUUUCACUGAUUGAAUUUUGGAGCUCAUCAACUGCGUCCCUCAACUGAUCAACGCAAUCGUACAAGGCUGCAGCUUCUCUAGGAUUUAAGCCCUGGCUUUUGGACAGUUUGGUCAUUGUUGUUGAAGUAGCAAGCGCAGUUUUAAGCGCCACGGAGAGGGCUGUGCUGGCUAAUAAUUUGGGGCUCGCCUGGAUUUUGGUUGCAUAUCCGGAAAGAGUGGUGAUGCACAAGUCAGGGUAAGUUGUGACACGGCAUGAGGUUUUGAUGAACUGGGUGUUUGUUUCACUCUGAACCGGCCUAGCCGCUGAGCAGUAAGUGUUCAUGUAAGUUGCAAAUUGAAUGAAGAUGAGAAGAGUUAGUGCGUGGGAAAAGGGUGAGCCUUUCAUGUUUGCUCUGUGUGUGUGUUUUGUAGCUGGAGAGUGUGAUAAAUACACUAAGUGCAGGGAGAGAUCUUUGAAUUAUAUAGAAAAAGCUCGUGGUAUUGUGGUUGCCACAAAAUAAUAUGAUCUUUAUAAAGAAAGGGUAAUGAAUUUUUUUUUUAUCUCUCUUUAAAUAAGGAAACAGUUUGACCUAAAAAUUUAAACUGAUAAAUAAAAAUUUAGUAAUAACAUUUAAUAAAAAUUUUAAUAGUUUUUUUUAUAUGAAAUGUGGAUUAAGACAUAAGCUCGUAAAUGGGCUGAAAGACAAGAGUCCAAAAGAAAUAAUUAAAAAAAUUUACAUCCAAGAGUAAUCAAAUUUAAAAGUCAGACUCCUAAUAUCAUGUAAAAAAAUCCACUUAAAAGUUUAAAUUCAUAAGGGAAGACAAGUAUAAAGACUCUACUCUCUAACAAAGUUCAGCCUUAGAAAAUUUAUGGGAAUGGCUACCUUUGCUUUUCAUAGACACCUAAAUUAUUGGAGCCAAAGAGCCACUCCAUGUCCGGGAAGUGGUUUUUAUGGAGUAUAAAGUUAAAGAAAAGCCUAUAGCCAAUAACAUGGGCGCAGAAAAUGGCACAUAUCAUCAAAGUGGGAUACUGGAUUGGAUCAAAGGGCAUCUUAAGAAAAGAACCUAUAGUGAACUGUCUAAUAAUUUCUGCGGACUUAUUACUUCAAAUGAAGGGAGGUAGGGCUGCAGUUUGCUCAACAAAGACUGCUGUUAACGUAGGCCUCGAGUUUUCCACGACUAGCACUCUUUGGCUUCCAUUGUGAUUGUGAUAUGCGGGGUCUCAGGAACGUGUUUUGAGUUCAUUUCUGUAAAUAAAUAAUUCCGAAUACUUCUUAGUUACGCUGAUUUUGAACCUAAUAGCUAUUAAAUAAAAAUGAAAUAUUUGGGGCGUCAAAUGCAUGAUUAAUGUCACUACCAAGCACUUUAGAAUGUAAUACUUAAAAAUAAUAAUAAUAAUAUAAAGGCCGAAGGGCAACAUUUACCAGCGGGCCAAUUGUCAGUGACAUAGAUCUUCUGUAUAUAGUGUUGUGGUCGACCCCACCCCCCAGAAAAAAAAAACAUAAAAACUGAAAAUGCACACACACUACAUCCCCACAAACUUAAGGGCAAAUAAUUAAGACCAACCCAAACUAGAUACAAAUCCAUUUCAUGGUUGAUGCAAAUAUUGCAAAUCCAACUCAAAAUCAAUUUCCUUAAGGAAAGAAUUAUCAGCCCAGAAGCAAAAUGAUUCAGACCAAGAAUUUGCAGACAAGAGCUUACUACAUAACGACUGCAUACAUAUCUAUUGAAUUGCUAGCUACGAAAUUAAUUAAGCUGAAGUCUCACUUAAUUAAGGCGACGUGGUAUGGUUGGCAGUGGCAGCAUAUCUGUUAAUAUUCCCAUUAAAGCCAUUUGAACAGGUAGCUCGUUCGUCAAGGCAGCACUCACUCACAUGUUUGCACAUCACUCAUUCUGAGCUCAAAACUUUUCCGUCCAGCAGAAUCCAUUUUCAGCUCAUCCACCCAGUCGCUCAACUGUCCGACGCCAAUCACGCAUGGCUGCUGCGACUCUGGGACUCAAUCCACGUGCUCUUGGACAGUUUUUUCAUCAGGGCUAUAGUAGACUGAGUGGUUUUAGUGAAACAGACGGGCUGUGAUGGCUAAAAGCCUGCGGCUAGAUUGGAUUUUGGUUGCGUAAAUUAUAAGCAAGCUGAAGCGCAAGUCGGGGUAUGUAAUUGCACCACAUGCAAUUUUGAUUGGGCAUUGGCUUACCAGCUGAGCAAUACGAGUUGACGUAAGCUGCAACUUGAACAAGUAUGAUCAAAGUUGCUAGGCCAUUGAAAAUGUAUGAAUUUGUUAUGGUUGGCAGUGGCAUCUCUCUCCCUUGCUUUAACUUAAUUAAGCUCUCUCUUUGUUUGUUUUUUUUUUUUUUAAUAAUGACGUGACAAACUGAUUAAGGUCUCAAUUUAUGGAAAUUCAGAUAAAGUUUGGGUUCAUCAACAAAAGCAGUACAUUUAAAAUAUCUUCACAAAUAAAAAUUUAGUAAUAACAUUUAAUAAAAAUUUUAAUAGUUUUUUUUAUAUGAAAUGUGGAUUAAGACAUAAGCUCGUAAAUGGGCUGAAAGACAAGAGUCCAAAAGAAAUAAUUAAAAAAAUUUACAUCCAAGAGUAAUCAAAUUUAAAAGUCAGACUCCUAAUAUCAUGUAAAAAAAUCCACUUAAAAGUUUAAAUUCAUAAGGGAAGACAAGUAUAAAGACUCUACUCUCUAACAAAGUUCAGCCUUAGAAAAUUUAUGGGAAUGGCUACCUUUGCUUUUCAUAGACACCUAAAUUAUUGGAGCCAAAGAGCCACUCCAUGUCCGGGAAGUGGUUUUUAUGGAGUAUAAAGUUAAAGAAAAGCCUAUAGCCAAUAACAUGGGCGCAGAAAAUGGCACAUAUCAUCAAAGUGGGAUACUGGAUUGGAUCAAAGGGCAUCUUAAGAAAAGAACCUAUAGUGAACUGUCUAAUAAUUUCUGCGGACUUAUUACUUCAAAUGAAGGGAGGUAGGGCUGCAGUUUGCUCAACAAAGACUGCUGUUAACGUAGGCCUCGAGUUUUCCACGACUAGCACUCUUUGGCUUCCAUUGUGAUUGUGAUAUGCGGGGUCUCAGGAACGUGUUUUGAGUUCAUUUCUGUAAAUAAAUAAUUCCGAAUACUUCUUAGUUACGCUGAUUUUGAACCUAAUAGCUAUUAAAUAAAAAUGAAAUAUUUGGGGCGUCAAAUGCAUGAUUAAUGUCACUACCAAGCACUUUAGAAUGUAAUACUUAAAAAUAAUAAUAAUAAUAUAAAGGCCGAAGGGCAACAUUUACCAGCGGGCCAAUUGUCAGUGACAUAGAUCUUCUGUAUAUAGUGUUGUGGUCGACCCCACCCCCCAGAAAAAAAAAACAUAAAAACUGAAAAUGCACACACACUACAUCCCCACAAACUUAAGGGCAAAUAAUUAAGACCAACCCAAACUAGAUACAAAUCCAUUUCAUGGUUGAUGCAAAUAUUGCAAAUCCAACUCAAAAUCAAUUUCCUUAAGGAAAGAAUUAUCAGCCCAGAAGCAAAAUGAUUCAGACCAAGAAUUUGCAGACAAGAGCUUACUACAUAACGACUGCAUACAUAUCUAUUGAAUUGCUAGCUACGAAAUUAAUUAAGCUGAAGUCUCACUUAAUUAAGGCGACGUGGUAUGGUUGGCAGUGGCAGCAUAUCUGUUAAUAUUCCCAUUAAAGCCAUUUGAACAGGUAGCUCGUUCGUCAAGGCAGCACUCACUCACAUGUUUGCACAUCACUCAUUCUGAGCUCAAAACUUUUCCGUCCAGCAGAAUCCAUUUUCAGCUCAUCCACCCAGUCGCUCAACUGUCCGACGCCAAUCACGCAUGGCUGCUGCGACUCUGGGACUCAAUCCACGUGCUCUUGGACAGUUUUUUCAUCAGGGCUAUAGUAGACUGAGUGGUUUUAGUGAAACAGACGGGCUGUGAUGGCUAAAAGCCUGCGGCUAGAUUGGAUUUUGGUUGCGUAAAUUAUAAGCAAGCUGAAGCGCAAGUCGGGGUAUGUAAUUGCACCACAUGCAAUUUUGAUUGGGCAUUGGCUUACCAGCUGAGCAAUACGAGUUGACGUAAGCUGCAACUUGAACAAGUAUGAUCAAAGUUGCUAGGCCAUUGAAAAUGUAUGAAUUUGUUAUGGUUGGCAGUGGCAUCUCUCUCCCUUGCUUUAACUUAAUUAAGCUCUCUCUUUGUUUGUUUUUUUUUUUUUUAAUAAUGACGUGACAAACUGAUUAAGGUCUCAAUUUAUGGAAAUUCAGAUAAAGUUUGGGUUCAUCAACAAAAGCAGUACAUUUAAAAUAUCUUCACACAAUACCAACAAAGUGUUGGCUCCACUGGCAAUGGAGUCCCCUUAAGUGGCUUGACUGUGUUUGCUCCCCAGUUCGAGUUGCAGGGAAGUCGCAUUUGUUGGGAGAACCUGUGCCUCCCGGUUCGAGCGGGGACUUCUAGUCUGAGUUGUGGUACGGGCUUAAAGGUGCCUCCCACAGUUGGGGCCCUCCCCAGGAUACCUCGUGGAUAAGACAAAAAAAAAAAAAAAUAUCUUCACACAAUCAUUCACUUUAUUAGUGUAUUAUAUUUACAUUACACAUGUCGUUUUCAAAUAGUAACACUUUUAAUUUAUUGUUGAAAAUGUCAUGUGACAGGUUUCAUCAAGAGGUGGCCAGUGGAUCAGACGGCACGAGAUACGGUAUGGGUACGGCACGUGUUCGUAUAAUACGGUAUGGUACGAAUAUGUUUUGGUAGAGUACGCGGCACGGCGUGGCACGCACAUAGAUUGGGCCGAGUUUAAAUUUUAGGCACGUGGACCUUAAAAGCACAGCACGAUUAGAGAUGGACCAAAGCACGGCAUGAAAAAAAAGUACGUAAUAAACACAUUUUAUUUUUUAAUGAAAAUAAAUUUAAAAUUUUAUGAUUUUAUAAAUAACUUGAAAUUAAAUCUUUUAAUAUAUUUUAUUAGCUCAAGUUUUUUUAAUUUAUUUAAUUCUUAGUUUAAAAAAAAUUGAUUUAUGUUUAUAAUUUAUUAAAUAAAUAAUUGAUAUCAUAAUUUUAUAAAUGUGUAUUAAUAUUAUUAUAAACUAUGAUAUAUGACUCUACGUAAUUCCAAGUUAACAAUUAAGUUAACUCUUAAAAAAAAAAAUUAUUAUUGUUGUUGUUAAAUACUAAAAAAGAAUUCUAAUAUAGAGUCAAACUUAGUAAUUAAUAUUAUAUUAUCUUAUUACUAUUAAUUUAUUAUUAUUGAAUAUGAACUUGAGUUUUGAAUUUUUUUAUUCUAUUAAAUUUGAAUAAGGGUACAUAGAUCCAAAAAAAGUAUAUAAACUUAAAAAAAAUAAAAUAAUUUAACAUGCGCUCUUAAAAAAAAAAAAAAAAUUUAGUAUGUUUUUUUUUUCUUAAGCACAGUCCACGGCUAAGCACGUGUGGUGGGCCAGGCCUAAACAAAAAAAUAAACACGACAUGACACGGUACAAAAACGCAGAAUGAAUACAACACGACACAAGUAUGAACAGGCUCUUUUUUGAUGGGCAUGGGCCGGCGUGGCAUGAGCCGUUCGCCACCUCUAGUUUCAUCCACAUCCUUUUGGAAGAUACCAUCGAUCCAUUUGUAGAGGUUACGAAAGAAAAGAGAUACUUUAUGUUCCUGCAGUUUUGAGUGUAGGAUAUGUAUAAAAGUAAUUGCUGUUUUCAAUAAAUUAAUUUACUCCUGAGGAUUAAAAAUGUAUGAACUAAUGGUUAGAAAAAUACAACCCAAUCCUGCCACGUGCCAAAGCUUGAUUGCAUGUGAUGAUGGCGGGUUGGACAAUAAAAACAUAAAGAUGGUUAUACAAAUAUGUUCCGAUUAUGAAGGCGGGUUACCAUUCUCCACCUGGAUGGAAUACAGAAAUAAUCAUCAUCUCUUCCAAGUUCGAAGAAAAAGACGUAACAAGCGUCAACAAAGAGACGUAGCAAGCGUCAACAAGUCGCUCUGAUAAAAUAAAUGCUAUUACGACCACCUCAAUUGCAAUGCAGUUGGGGGGUCAUUGCUCGUCAAUCGAGCGAUAAAACUUAGAUUUACAUGAUUUGAUCUGUAGUAUGAGUGUCUAACUGAGGCUCAUUCAUUGAAUAGUGACACAAAACUAUAAAUUCUUGUAUAAAUUUAUAUUUAUAUAAAUUGAUAUAAAUUAAAUUUACUAAUUUAAUAAAAAUAUAAAAUAAUAAAAAUAAAUAAUAUAAGUUAGAAAUUAUUUAAUCCAACUAACUGAAUUAUAGGGAAAAUAUUCACUGUCCACCUAUUUUUUUUAAUUUUUUUAAAAAUACACAAUUCUUUUUUUUUUGUUGGAAUCCACUUAAAGUUACAUUUUGUUUCACUUUUUCACUUCCGUUUGGAAUCCAUUAAGGAAACUAACAGAAACUUAAAAAAAUGACCAUUUUACCCCCAAACAAAAAUUACAAUUUCACUCUAAAAAAUUCCAAAAAUAAUCAGAUUUAAUAAUGAAUAUCAUUAUUGGUACGUUAAUGAAGUACAAAAAAAUAUUAACUGCUAGAGAUUAUAAUUCAAUGAAUAAUAAAAUUCUAUUUAUCUUAAAUUCAAUUAAUAGUUUGUGAGAUUAGACUAUUUUUAAUACUACUGUUAUAAAUUAGCAUUCUAAUUACAUACAUAUUAAAAAAAAAACAUGCAUUUGAUGGUUGUGGAAUUAAUUUUUUAUUAACCGAAGGGGAAAAUAAUUAGAUUUAAUUUGAUUAUUUUUGGUAAUUUUUAGGGUGAAAUUGAAAUUUUCGUUUUAGGGGGUAAAAUAGUCAUUUUUUUAGGUUUCCGUUAGUUUUCUUAACGGAUUCCAAACGGAAGUGGAAAAGUGAAACAAAAUGUAACUUUAGGUAGAUUCCAGCAAAAAAAAAAAAAAUUGUGUAUUUUUGAAAAAGUUGAAAAAAAUGAGUGGACGGUGAAUAUUUUCUCUUGAAUUAUAUCAGAGUUGUAUAAAAAAAGUUUGUAAUUCUAUCUUUAUUUUUCAUUAGAAUUCUUGAUUUAUUGGGUUGACCAAACAUAACUUAUUUGGAAAAUCAAAUACUCUCAUAGAUCUCAUGCUAUUAUUUGAGAAUUAUCAUCCCCUCCCUUCAAACAUUUUCUGAUGGAAAUGAGGAAGAGACAGAGACAUAUACAAAAUAUUAAGGAUGAGAACGAGAAUGUUGAUCCCCUCCCUUCCCCUCUCCAUUGUCAUCCCUAUAUCCAGUCUAUCUCUAUCAAUAAAUAUUAUGAUUAGUUCUUAUGUGAAGAAGGAAAAAGAUUGCAAUUAUAUGUAAAAAGUUGGCUGGAGUCUUUAAUGUGAAUAAUUCUUAGGGUAGGACAAUUUGAACCCAUAAAAAUUCUUUCAACACCCACUUUUUUUAAUUAAAAUAAUUAUAAGUUAUAUCUUAUUGUUUUAAUUCAUUAAUUCUCAUAAAUUACAAAAUUACCCUUGAUCAAAUACUUUCUCUUAGAGCUGGCAAAACGGGUCAUCGGGUCGUGUUCGUGUCGUGUUAGCUUCGUGUCGUGUCAAAUUUAGGUCGACCCAAACCCGACCCAUUUAAUAAUCGUGUCAAAAUAUUGAGACCCAAACCCGACACGGAAAAAUAAUCGGGUUACCCAAUAACCCGUUUAAUAUCUAUAUAUUGAANNNNNNNNNNNNNNNNNNNNNNNNNNNNNNNNNNNNNNNNNNNNNNNNNNNNNNNNNUAUAUAUAAUAUUAUAUAUCAAUAUUAUAAAAUAUACAUGUCUAUCAAUUUUUACGCAUUUACAUUAUUGAAGCUCUAAAUGUAUGUAAAAUUUUAUAAAUAAAACAUUGUUUAUAUUCACCCUUUUAAAGAAUAAAAAAAAGAAAAUCAUCUCUAAUAUUUGAGUUUUAAUUAUAAGAAUAUGUAAAUUAUUUUAAAAUAGAAAAUAUAAUCGGGUCAUUGAUCGGGUAAAUGGGUCAAGAAUUUUAACCCAAACUCGACACGGAAAAAAUUCGUGUUGACCCGGACCCGACCCAUUUAAUAAUCGUGUUAAAUUUGACGACCCAUACCCAUUUAUUUAUGUCGUGUUCGUGUCGAGUAAUUGGGUCGUGUCAAAUUUUGCCAGCUCUACUUUCUCUCUCUACUAUAACAAUGUUCAAAACAUAAAAUAGUUUCACUUUAUUUCAAUUUUUUUUAAUUCUUUCUUAGUAAAUCAACUUAUCUUUUUCUUAGUUUUCUCUACAACAUGAUCAGUUUUUACCUAUUAUUACUAUUUAGAGGUUGUACUUCUAAGAUUUGACCCAAAAAAAAAAAAUUCUAAUAGAUUUAAAGUGACGUAGAAACCUCUAUUUUUUAUUUUUACAUGAUGGGUAUUGAUAUUUUCAUUUGGUCUAGAUUACAAUAGUGCUAAUUUGUUAAUUUUUGAAUAAUUUUAUCUGUUGAAUCUAAUAUUUACUUCAUAUAUCAUGAUGAAUUUUGAUAAGGAAAGGAGAUGGAGGGAGAGAGAAUGAGGUCAAAUAUGUAAUUGAUCAUAUUAUAUUUUUAGAAUGAAAAUUUUAAUUAAAAAAAGAGUGCGGUGAGGAAUUUAGUGGAUUCAAAUAGUCCCACUCUAACUCUAAUCUUAUUUUAAUUUGACAUUGAAAGAAAGUUAAUAAAUUACAUUUUAUGGGCCGAUUUGGUAAUAUUGUAACUUUUAAAAUAAUUGUCAUUAGUUGUACUGUAUAAAUAAUCAGUUAUAAAGAGAAUCUAUUAAACGUUUGACAAAAUUUAUUUUUAAAGAGCUGUAAGUUUUGAAAGAAAUUAUGUGUUUAGUAAAUUUGGUUGUUAAAUUGCUGUAAGAACACAAGUGAUUAAAAUAGACAUGAUAUUAAGUAAAUUUUACUUAGACAUUUACAAGCAUGCAUAUACAAUAUUUUAUUGUGUAUAUAUAUAAUAACUAAUAACUGAAAUAAAUAUUAUUAUUUAUUAAUUUUAAUUUUUUUUAUUUUACUAUGUAAUAUAUAAUUGGUAAUAAUAACAAUCUCUUUAAAUUUAAUAAUUUUAUUUCCUAAUUAAAUAAUGAUAAUUUUAUAUUUUUAUAAUAUAUGUGGUAAUAUAUAUGUAAUUGUAUUAAGUAUAAAAUUGAAUAUCAAAAUCAAAUUUUGAAAAAAUAUUCUUUCUUGUUUUUCAAAAUUAGUUGUAGGAUGGGAUGAUUUUACUAAAAGUAAUUUUUAAAAAAACUUAACAAACAUCAAAAUUAAUUUUUAACUUUUUAAAAUCACUUUUUGAGCCUCUAAAAAAUAAUCCCAAAUAGGCCUUUAAUACUAUUGUUAAAUGACACAAAAUCAAUACGAUUGAAAUGCGAAAAAUAAUCUAAAGUAAAAUGAAUGCUUGAAUAGGUUAAGAUCACAUUUGGUCAAUUUGUUUCAGCUUUCCAAUUUGUUAUACACGUUAUCACAUAACCUUACCUUACUUGCAUGCAAAAUUAAACUCUCGACCUUUUAUCCAUCAGAAUAGAAAAAUAUAAACAUGACAUAACAUCAUUAAAUUUGUACUACAAUAGAGAAAUUCUAGACUUUCUCUAAGUACAAAACUAAAAGUAAAUAAAAGUAUCAAGAAGAAAAUUCCUUCUACCUUAUUCUAUAAUAUGUAGAUGAUACAAAUGGGCAAUGCAGAAGGAAGAACCCCCAUUAGAUUAAAAGAUCAUUCAGUAACAAAUUUCCUACGAAGUGGCUUAACACUUAACAGCGGCAUUUUAUAAUUCAAUUUUUAUUGAAUUAUAAGCUUUGAUUUAUUAUAUCUUUCUCAAUAAUUCAUUUUCAUAUUCCUAAGAAACAAACUCUGUGAGUCAAAUAUAUAAGUUGAUUUGCUUUUGGCCAAGGCAUAGUUGUUGAUAAGAGCCAAAGCAUUAAUUACUUGUUAAAUGAGCAAAUUUGAUAAUGCGUUUCCGGAUAUUAGACUUCACCUUUGCAUUAAUUCAAGAUCGUCUCAGCAAAUGCAUCCAAGCAUGUGUUUCUUUUCCUCCAAUCCCGUGUAUAUCCAAGAUUGAAUAUAUCACCCAUUUGAAAUUAACCCGAAAUCUUAAUCUCACACGAUCCCGUUCCAACAUAGAUUUUUAUACUGAAUCAUUAAUAUCCGCACGGCAAUCUAGCAAUGUUGCCGUGGCAUUGUUGAAGGUGAAACUUCGAGUUUGGGAUUUUGAAUACACAGGGAGAUAUUUCCCCCUUACAAAAUUAAAUGUCGGGAAACUAAGCCUUCAUGGGCCUGAACCCAUACCCUCAACAUGGUUGAGAUACCCGGAUUAUCACUGGACAGCCUAGGGACAAGAGAGUCGAAUAUCGAUUAAUGCUUAGCAUGCAUUAAUAACUGGCUUGAAUUCAUAAGAAAGAGAGCUAAGAGGAAGAAGCCUGUAAUUGGUAAUAGGUUAUUUCAAAGCUUUAAUUCCUCAAUUGUUUUGUUCUUAAAUAAAUCUUUUUAACACAGCUGCUAGAAAUGAAAAAUGCUGUAGAUUCAAGAUUUGCAUGCGGAAUGUCUUCGUCACCAAGUUCUUUUUUUGGCAUUAAUCAAUCACCAUAUCAAAUACCAUUUCCUUAAUACACAAGUAAUAUUUUACAAUCUUUGUCAUAGUACUAAGAGAGAAUUAUAUAUAUUUUUACUGCUUCUAGCUGCUGAUCCUUCACGUUUGUCCAUACCAAAAAUCCCAAAUAUUAUUCGUUUUGUCUCAUUAAACACUGAAGCAAGUCUUAUUCGCUACAUAUCACCGACUCGAAAUGUAUGGUAAUAAUCAGUUAUCGGGCCACAAGGCCGCCCCACAAUAAUGCAAACUUGAAGGUCACCCAUGCCUAUAAAAAUGUUGCCACUUGGAACUUUCAGUUCCAAGCAAAUUAACCUCAAGUACGGCGAUUUUACGACUAGUCUAUUUCACUCCCAAUUUCGUUUGAUGUUGCUAUUCCAUAGGCAGGUAGAGAUGGCUAAUGGGUCGUGCUGAUCCGGUCCACUAAAGUAAGGCCCAUACGUGCUUGUGCCGUGCCUAAAUUUUUUUACUUAGGCCCGGUCUGCCACACGUGCCGUGCCUAAGAAAAAAAAUUCAAUAAUUUUUUUUAAUUUUUUAAGAGCGCAUGCUAAGUUGUUAGCGUAUUUUUUUCAAAUCUAUAUACAUUUCUUAGGUAUAUGCCUAUAUUCAAAUUUAAUAUAAUUAAAAAUUUAAAACUCAAGUCCAUAUUUAAUGAUAAUAAACUAAUAAUAGCAAGAAAAUAUAAUAUUAAUUACUAAGUUUAACUUUAUGGUGCGUUUACUUUAUAGAAUAGGAAUAAACUGGAAUGAGAAUAAGUUGGGAAUGUGAAUGUCCUGGAAUGUCAUAGAUGUGUUUACUUGGCAAAAUAAAUGGGAAUGAGAAUUAAUUUACCAAAAUACCCAUAGUAUUAAAUAAUGUAAUUUUCAUUAUAUAGAUACAUGUAUAAAUAUUAUUAUAAAAAUGAUAUUAAUUAAAAAAUAAAAUUAAUAAUAAUAAUAAUAAAAAAUGUUAAUAAUGAUAAUAUUAACAGUAAUUAAAAAUUUAAUAAUAAUAAUAAUAUUAUUAUUAUUAUUAUUAUUAAUGACAUUUAAAAUAAUAAAAUUAAUUGUGAUUUGAAUAAGGGUAAUUUGGAAAAUCUGAAAAAAAUUAGAGGGAUUCAAAAGUAAACAUCUAUUUCAUUCUCAUUCCCAACCCCCCAAUCUCUGCUGUACCGUACAUCCGCCUUGGCCGUACAGCAGAACCCCCCAUGGGAAUGAGAUUCUCAUUCCUUAUUCCCAAAUUACAUUUUACCAAGUAAACAUGAAAUUCAUUCUCAUUCCCUAAACCCUCAAGUAAACACACUAUUAUAGUAUUAGAAUUUUUUUAAUAUUUAACAACAAUAAUAAUAAUAAUAAUUUUUUUUUUGAAAAACAUAACAACAACAUAAUAAUAAAUUUUUCUUAAGAGUUAACUUAAUUAUUAUCUUGGACUUACAUAGAGUCAUAAAUUAUAGUUCACAAUAAUAUUAAUGCAUAUUUAUAAAAUCAUGCUAUCAAUUAUUUAUUUAAUAAAUUUAUAAAUAUAAAUCAAUUAUAGUAUUUUUUAAACUAAGAAUUAAAUGAAUUUAAAAAAUUCAAUUUAAAGUCAUUUGUAAAAUUAUAAAAUUUUAAUUUUACUUUCAUUAAAAAAUAAAACGUACUUAUUUCGAACUUUUUUAUCGUGUCGUGCUUAACCUAUUUUUAAUCGUACCGUGCUUUUAAGGCUUGCGUGCCUAAAAUUCUAAGUCCGACAUGACCCACGUGCAUGCCGUGCCAUGCCACGUGCCAUUCGGCCCAUUGAGCAUCUCUACAGGCAGGUAAUGUUCGUGAACGCAUUACUGAGCUUCUAGGUUUGCUACAUUGCAGUUGCGGACCAAGCUACCAAUUACCUUAUAAUUUGCCCAAUAAAAUUUGUGUGCUGACGCCUUCACAGUGCUGGCUGAUUGCCCAUCAAAAUAUUAACCUAACGUGUCUCCUUGAAAUUUUAGACUCGUUUCUCAACUUGGACUGCAAUAAUAAUCUGAUCGCACUAGCAACGUGGCGUUACGUGAAAGCACGAUAAAUUCAUUUCGGCUCCUUUUUCUUUCAUUUGCCUCUAAUUGAGGCAAAACGCAAGGGGAGAUAUCAAAAGCAGGCAGAUAAGGCGGAUGUACGGUACAGCAGAUUAUUAUUAUUAUUAAUGACAUUUAAAAUAAUAAAAUUAAUUGUGAUUUGAAUAAGGGUAAUUUGGAAAAUCUGAAAAAAAUUAGAGGGAUUCAAAAGUAAACAUCUAUUUCAUUCUCAUUCCCAACCCCCCAUGGGAAUGAGAUUCUCAUUCCUUAUUCCCAAAUUACAUUUUACCAAGUAAACAUGAAAUUCAUUCUCAUUCCCUAAACCCUCAAGUAAACACACUAUUAUAGUAUUAGAAUUUUUUUAAUAUUUAACAACAAUAAUAAUAAUAAUAAUUUUUUUUUUGAAAAAUUAACUUAAUUGUUAACUUGGACUUACAUAGAGUCAUAAAUUAUAGUUCACAAUAAUAUUAAUGCAUAUUUAUAAAAUCAUGCUAUCAAUUAUUUAUUUAAUAAAUUUAUAAAUAUAAAUCAAUUAUAGUAUUUUUUAAACUAAGAAUUAAAUGAAUUUAAAAAAUUCAAUUUAAAGUCAUUUGUAAAAUUAUAAAAUUUUAAUUUUACUUUCAUUAAAAAAUAAAACGUACUUAUUUCGAACUUUUUUAUCGUGUCGUGCUUAACCUAUUUUUAAUCGUACCGUGCUUUUAAGGCUUGCGUGCCUAAAAUUCUAAGUCCGACAUGACCCACGUGCAUGCCGUGCCAUGCCACGUGCCAUUCGGCCCAUUGAGCAUCUCUACAGGCAGGUAAUGUUCGUGAACGCAUUACUGAGCUUCUAGGUUUGCUACAUUGCAGUUGCGGACCAAGCUACCAAUUACCUUAUAAUUUGCCCAAUAAAAUUUGUGUGCUGACGCCUUCACAGUGCUGGCUGAUUGCCCAUCAAAAUAUUAACCUAACGUGUCUCCUUGAAAUUUUAGACUCGUUUCUCAACUUGGACUGCAAUAAUAAUCUGAUCGCACUAGCAACGUGGCGUUACGUGAAAGCACGAUAAAUUCAUUUCGGCUCCUUUUUCUUUCAUUUGCCUCUAAUUGAGGCAAAACGCAAGGGGAGAUAUCAAAAGCAGGCAGAACCAUAUAUGAUUAUAAAUAUCUAUGAUCGUAUAUCGUAAAUUGAAUGUCAAAUCCGAAGUUAAAUCAACAAGUAUGUAACAGCAUCUACACAUUUGGAUUCAUGCCGAAUAUAAUCACCGAUUGCGUACAAUCAUAUAUAUUGACAUAAUGGAUAUUUAGAUAUACACGCACCUCUAUCGCUUGAAGCAUCCCACACAGGCUCCCAGUUUUUCUGUGUGCAAAAGAGAAUAUUUUACAUCUUGCUUCUGUAAUAGACAUAGAAAAUUACAGUAACAGUAUAUCACACACAUAUCAGCUUGCAAUCCACGCUAGCCCUAUGGCAAUUUUGUCCUAUACACAUGUAAAUAUAUCUCAAAGAAAUAGGAUAAUUAAAACCGACCGACACUCUUGAGUCUGACACAAAUUAAGGAUACGAAAAUAUACAGGACAACGCUAUAUGAAGUAGCAUGAAAGAGCGUUUCUAAUUAGUGAUUUAGAAUGGCUUUGAUCCGAUCCCUUUAGGGAGAUGGAGGGUUACUGCCAGCGGCAUAACUAUUUAUGAGAGCCAAGGCGUUGCUUGUCAAAUGUGCAACUUUAAGAAUAUGCCUCCUGAUCAUCGUCUUCGUAUAUCUGUUCAAGGGCCUACCUUGAAGCCCAUCCACGCAAGUAUCUUCAUCCGUUAACGCUGCGCUUACCCAUGUUUGGACAUCACCCAUUGUGAGCCAAAAAUUCGAGUUCCUGAUGUGACCCAGUUCGUCCAUAGAAUCUUGGAGCUCAUCUAUUGAGUCACCGAUCACCUCAAUGCAAUCUGCCACUGCCCCUGCGGUCUCCCUCGGGAUCAUGCCGGGGAAUCUCGACAUCUUGACCAUCAUUCUCGACGUUGAUUUUGUGGCUUUAAGGGUUAUGUUGAGAGCUGUGUUGGCUAAUGUUUUGGGGUUGCUUUUGAUUUUGGCUGCAUAGACUGAGAGUGAGCGGUAGCACAACCUGCGAUAGAUUGUGCCACUACAUGAUGUUCUUAUGUACUCUAUGUUUGAAUUAUCUGAUGGGUUUGAGGCUAAGUUGGUGGAGAAUUGAAGGAGAAUUAUGAGCAGGGCUACUAGUGCAUGCCUCAAAAAUGAACCUUCCAUUCUCUCUCUCUCUCUCUCUCUCUCUCUCUCUCUCUCCAGAAAGAAAUAGAUUCGUAUAGUGAGUUUUGUAGAGUAAGGGUGGCUUUAUAGAAAGAGAGAGGCAGUCAAUUAGCUGCGCUAAUUGUGGAGUAAAAGAAGCCUGAUUUCAGGUAAUGAUUGGAUUGUUAAAUAUAAUUAUAAUAAUAAUCCGAUGGAUAAUUUUUAGAGGCACAAUUUUAGAAUAUAUUUAAAUUUAAUAUAAUCACUUUUAUAUAACAGAAAUUAAUGUAAAACUACAGUACACUUCUAAGAAAAUAUAAUUAUUACACUUGUUAUUUUUCUGUGUGGAGUGAUUUAGGAACACUGGGAACCGCUAAUUAUUCUGUCUCAUAUAAUCAUUAAUUGGGUGUAAAAUUAAGGACCACAGAAGCUACUACUCACUCCAUCACGAGGUAAAAGAACCUUAAUUAUCACUGGUGGCAAAAUUCCAGGGUACAAAAGGAAUAAUGCUCUUUGACGAAUUGGUAGCUCAAGUAAUAAUGCCCUUGGUUUCGCCAAAUUCUUCACAAAUUUCCUUAAAUGUUUUUUUUUUUUUGGCCCUGGAUGGUAAUAUCGUGUGAGUUUAAUAAUAAUAAAAACAGUUAAUAAAUUAGAACUUGGAAAAUGGAGAUUGCUUAUUCUCAUUCAGUAUGAUAUCGUCUCUUUAAUUUGGAAUUGGGAUAGUAUAUAUAUAAUUUUCAAAUAAUUUUGUUUUUAGAUCCUCUCAAAAAGCCACAUAUUGUUUGAGAAAUGACUUACAUGGUCCAAUAACCAGAGAUUAUUAUGACACUCUAACCGUAGGGUUUUACAAUUUACCCUUGUUACCAGAGUGCUUAAUAGGUCUACGGUCAAUAGGUUUGUAUUUGAUACCAUUUUUGUAAUUCCACUCAGUAGAUUUUUCUUUUUCUUUUUUUUUUUAAAGUGGCGCUUUUGAAACUGUUUUUUUUUUAUUAUCUAAAAAGUCUCAUAAGGAUUGCGAAAAUACACUAUAUAUAUAAUAAAUAAAUGAAAACAUAUAAUAAAUAAAUGAUGCUAUGAUAUGUGUAUAUAUUUUUUUAAAAUUAUCAUGUAAGUGAUAGUUAUAUUAAAUUUAAUUAUACAUAUUUAUGUAUAUAUUAAUUAGCUGUAUUUUAAAACUUUUAUUGUUGCGGACUUUUCUGCGAUCCAUUGUGUGAUUUACUCGAUCGGCAAAUUUGCAGCAAAAUACAAAAGCCAGUGCUUCCAAAGUAGUGAAGGAACCAUUUUUCAUUUAAAUGAAUGAUAUACUUAAAUACACAUCGAAGAAGGCUGCAACCAUAUCCAAUAGACGCUGUGGCCGCUUCUCACAUGAGCCAAAAAGAGAAUUCCAUUGGUUUUAUGCAAGGAUUAUGUCCUCGAAUUGAACGAUUCACAAAAACAAGAAAAAUAAAGGUGAUAAUAAAAUUCAAGAAUUGAGCAUAUCAACAGUGUAUGGCCUUCAUAACCAUGUGACAUACGACAAAUAUUACGUCAACGUCUGACUGCUACGUUUGAUUAACCAAAACGCAAAAUGAUUAUGCACGUAAUAAAUAUGGGUUUGGACGCGCACUGCUUGCCAGCUGCAGCUGGGAGGUUUUAUCUAAGGAUGAACUGAGCAGAAAGGCAAGGAAUAGGUUUUAGAUAAGGGUUCGUUAGUUGGAUCAGAUUCUCUUUUGAUUUGAUCAUAUUUUAAGUAAAUAAUUUAAUUAUUAAUUAAUAAUUAAUAAAUAAAAAAAUAAAAAAAAAUUAAAUUUUAUUUAUAUAUUACUAUUAAAAGACACNNNNNNNNNNNNNNNNNNNNNNNNNNNNNNNNNNNNNNNNNNNNNNNNNNNNNNNNNNNNNNNNNNNNNNNNNNNNNNNNCAGCAGAUUAGUUUAUCUAUGUUAGAGUAUAAAUUUUAACUACACAUAUAAGUGAUAAAUAAUAAAUAAUAAGUUAUAAUAAAUUUUUAUUAUUUAUUAAUUUAUAUAUAUAAUUGAGAUUCACGCUCCAUCAUAAAUAAACUCCAAUCAUAAUCUUUAGAUAAUUGGACUAUCAGUGUUUUAUAACAUCACGAAACAACUCUUUAAAUGGAAUUUUCUUACUUAUUUAAACCGACACGUCAAUAAAAAAAAGUUUCUAAAUAAAUUUUCUUGUACGCAUAUAAGAUAGUAAAACAAGCCUACUAAAAAUAAAAAUAAUGAUGAGGAUUGGAAUGAAUCCGGCAUUAUUAUUUUAUUUUUGUCGCAUUUAACACAGGUAUCGAGCGAGGUGGGCCAUUGAUAGCUCCCCAUGAUCAGAUUCCCUUGUUCUCAGAAAUUUCAUAUUUGACAGCUACCCCAUCUUGGUCGAAUAAUUAAUAAAGAAAAUUAGAGACGAUAUUUGCUGAGACUAGCGCUGAGUUUGCUAGCUUUGGAGGAGAGAUCGAACAUCGUAACUUUGGACAGGAGUUGUUGGAGUUUGGGGCUCUGGGCUUGUCCACGUGGGAAGCAAAUCUCGCACAUAAAGAGAUAAGAGAUUUUUAAUAUUUUAGCUGCCGCAAAAAUUUGUCCCCAAGUUGCUUUCACGCGAAUAGAGAGAUUGAUUUUUUGCUUUGGGAUUCUUCUAUAAUGAAAGGCGAUCAUCAAAGUGAUUUAAGUGAGGCUCCCCACCGAUGCGUUUAAGCUUUUUUUUUGUCUCAACUUUCAAACCGACAUGUUUACACUUUAAUGUUCUCAACUUUUGCUUUUUUUUUUUUAAUGAACCUUUGGUCUUGUAGAAGAAUUUUUAUAUUUAUAAUAUUAAAAAUAAGAGUUUGAAUCUUUAUAAAAAUAUUAUAAGGAUUAAUUUUAAUUAUCUUUCAAUUAUUAAAUAAAUUGAAUUGAGAUAAUUUCUUUCUCACGAAAUAUGAAUAGAGUAGAUAUUCUUUAAAUAUUAUAUAAAGUUUAAAGAUGAAGGUCCUAGUUAUAAAAUUUAUUUGUAAAUAUUAAUUGUAAUUUGAGUUUAAAGAAUUUGAGCAGCGCUUUCGAGGAGUACAUGCUACGAUGAAUGUCUUAAUUGUAUAAUCUGUUUGUAAAUAUUAAUUAUAACAUCUACUACGAUGAAAGCCUUAGUUAUAUAAUUUGUUUGUAAAUAUUAAUUGGAUGAAGGUUCCAGUUGUAUAUUCUAUUUAAAACUAUUACUUGUAACAUAUGAUAUAAUAUCAGUAACAGUACUGUAUAUAUAAUAUUUAAAAUAAACUUUUUUUUUUUCAACAUUUUUUAAUAUUUUGGCACGGCUAGAAAGAAGUUAAAUGGAGAAGCGAAGAGGGUCCAUCUCAUUAAUCUUUUCUCGCAACAUGUGUAUAUCCUAAUCCUGCCACUUACUCCCAUGUGCCGCGCGUGCCUAUCUAUUUUUUUAAACCUUUGUAGGCCGUUGUACCCGGCAUUCUUAGCCAUCGCUUUGUCGCUACUUGAAACGUUUUAGCUUUCAUCCAAAAUUAUAUAAUACUUUGACUGAAUGUCGAACUACUCCCCCGUAAAAUAAUAAUAUUUAAAAUACUCUCGAAGUUAUUAUAAAUAUCAAAUUAUUUUAUUUUUAUUGAAAAAAUAAUAAUUUUCACUGACCUCCCCUUAAUAUGCCCACAGUACACUCUAAACUCACAUCGAGCUCCCUUAACUCACACUACACUUGGAUAAAAAUCUCCCUAAUAGGCGUUGAUUGGUGUGACGUGACGUGUGAGCAGCUAGCUGCAUGUUAGCCUCUCGUUAACACGUGUAUUAUUAUUAUUAUUAUUUAAAAGAUCUUUUAGAACAAGAGUAAUUGGGUAUUAAUUGUGAAUAAUUCUUAAACCAAAUAGAAACAUGGAUGUCAAUGAUAAUAACUGAUGCUCAAAUCGAAGGAUCAACGAAAUUAAUACAAAAAUAAAAUUGUAUUUUCAUAAUUAUCUUAUUACAAUCUAUUUAUAUAUAUAUAUAUAUAUAUAUAUAGGACUUGAGGAGGUGAUGUGGCAUCACCAUUUCUCUUCAUCUCAUAUUCUCUAUUAUCUAAUAAAUUGGUUGAAAUUAAAAAAAUAAUUACAUUACAAAAUAUUAAAAUAGAAAAUAAUUAUUAGAUUAUAAAUGAUUACAUGUCUUUUCCUCUUUCUAUUUAAAUUCAACAAUAUGUAACCAUUAAUAAUAAUUAAUUAUAAGUCUUCAAACAUUAAUUUAUUUUAUUAUGCCAACAAUUAAACUUUAGUGGCUUAAAAUACAUCAAUUAAUUAAUAUAGGAAGGAAGGUUCCUUCAUAUUCCCUCAACAAUGCCAUUAGAGCCUAAUUUUAAUGUCAUAAUCUCAUAUUUAAUUAUUCAAUCUUUUGUUUAGUGCCUUUUGGCUUCUUCAAACUCCAUAAACAUUAAGUAUUUAAGAUUUGUGGCAUCAUUAUUUCUCAUCUUUUUAUAUUCUCUAUAAUCUAAUAUAUUGGUUGAGAUUAAAAAAUAAUUACAUUACAAAAUAUUAAAAAUAAAAAAAUAAUUAUUAGAUUAUAAAAGAUUAUGUCUCUUCCUCUUUCUAUUUAAAUUCAAUAAUAUGUAACCAUUAAUAAUAAUUAAUUAUAAGUCUUCAAACAUUAAUUUAUUUUAUUAUGCCAACAAUUAAACUUUAGUGGCUUAAAUAUAUCAAUUAAUUAAUAUAGGAAGGAAUGUCUCUUCAUCUUCCAUCAAUAAUGUCAUUAGGGUCUAAUUUUAAUGCUAUAAUCUCAUAUUUAAUAUGUAACAUUUUGUUUAGUACCUUUUGGUUUCUUCAAACUCUAUAAAUAUUAAGUAGUUAAGAUUUGUGCCAUUAUUAUUUCUCAUCUUUUUAUAUUUCAUUUAUUUUAUUAAGCCAACAACUAAACUUUAGUGGUUUAAAAUAGAUCAACUAAUUAAUAUAGGAAGGAAGGUUCUUUCAUCUUCCCUCACCAAUACCACUAGGACCUAAUUUCAAUGUCAUAAUUUCAUAUUUAAUUAUGCAACCUUUUAUUUAGUGUCUUUUGGCUUCUUCAAACUAUAUAAAUAUUAAGUAUUUAAGAUUUGUUAUGUUUGGAUUUUUUUUUAAUUUAACCAACAUCCUCUUUAGAAAUGUUCUUGUGUUUUUUUUUUGACUUAUUUAAUUUUUUUGUAUUGUGUGCUUCAUAGAGUAUUAUUUUCUUCAUGAGUUAAACAAUGAUAAAGAUAGUUGGAUGAUAAGGGUUAGGCUUUGUAAAAUGUAGGAGUCUGUUAAUACCAAGAAGAAUUGAGAGUUGAUUAGUGUGAACAUAAUUUUUAUUGAUGAAAAAGUUGUUUACAUUUAACUAUACACAUUAAUAUAUUUUUUUAAAGUUAACAAAAAAAUAAUUAACUUUCAUAAAUAACAUUAGUUUUAUAAGGCUGCGUCAUCUUUAAAAGAAAAUCAAUUCAUAUUUUUUAUCAGUUUUAUCAAGUGUAAAGUAAUAAAAAAAAUAAUACUAAAUUAUUUUUUUAAAGCCGCACGAAGUGCGGUUCUAUUUCCUAGUGUAGUUAUAAAAUUCUCUCCUCAAAUGCAUUAAGCGAAACAAUUAAAUAUUCCAUUUAUUUGUAAUUUUUUCUAUUACAGUUGUUUGGCCAUGCUUUGAGCAUUUGUGGACAUUGUGGAGGAUUACUUUUGAGAUUUGUAAUUUGCGUUUGGUAAUUUCAUCGAGAUGUUUCACUUAAAAAAAAAAAAAAAGGGUUCUAAUGGUUGAAAAAAUUGGGACAACUAAAAGGAUAUGUCAAUCGAUUGCCCAUAAUCCAUUCAACAUAAUACUUUAAACAAAUAUAAUUUUUUUAUUAAAUAAUAAACAUCCCAAUUGCUUUGUUGAUGUUAUUUAGGAAAUUAAUGAAGAGAGAGAACUAUUAAUGGAAAUGAUUUUUAUGAUUGGUCAUAAUGAACUAAUUAAUGUUAAUAAUAAAAUAAAUUGUUAGUGUGUGUAUAUAAUCUUCCUCUCGUGUGAGCGCUUUUUUUUUGUUUUCAAAUACACUAAUAAGUUAUUUAGUUUAAUAGAGUUAAUGUUCAAUUAAUUAUAAAAUCAUAUAGUUUAAUAACAUAUCCGUAUUAAAAAAAAUGAGAAUGCUCACACGUAAGUUUGUGUGUGUGUGUGGAUAUAUAUUUGGAUGGCAGAACUCAACAUUUUAUCACGAACAAAGAGAGACGUGAUAUUAAUUUUUUUAAAUUAGGUUACAAGAUUGACCUUGAUGAUAACGGUCAAAGCAAAGUUUAGUUAAGUCCAAGGGAGGUCAAUGUGAAAUUGGCCAUAAAAUCUGUUUCAAGUGUGAGUUAGACAUAGUUGAGGAGAGGAUAGUGAAAAUUACCCACCAAAAGAUAAAAGAAAAAUGAGAAUGAGUUGAUAAUUUUUUUUCCCUAAACAAAAUUACCAUACAAAAUGAGAGAUAAGUUGAGUUUAUAAUACUUUAGUAGAGAUUGCCAUUUCAUGAGAAAUAAUCCCAAAUUAAUCUUUAUCCUAAUAAUAAUAAUAAUAAUAAUGAGUUGCCACUUGCCAGGAUAACGAUUUAUUUUUGUUUUUGUUUUCAUUUUCAUUUUUUUAAUGAACCAAAAGUCGAGGUGUCAUAUUUCUCACAGAAUUUGUCAUCUGUGAACAAGCCAUUUCUUGUUGUUGCUUCGCCGAUUCUAAGGCUUUGAUAUAAAAAAUUGCCUGAAUUAAUUAUUGCUUUAGGAGAAUAAAGAUGUGUAUGUGACGUGGCAAGUCAAAGAUAAUGAGAUUUGGUCGAUUGUUUCGUCUGCGGUCAGGUAAAGUAGUUAGUAAUCCAUAAGUUUUGUCAAAAGGAAGUUGUAAUCAUGGACCUGUCUAUGGUACAGAUUCUGUAACAAACAUCUCCCGUCAUCCCACCAUCCGAUUUUCUAUUGUUUAGUUUCUCACUCCACAUCCAACCACAUCCAACGGCUGAUGCUGCAGUCUGUAGCUUACAGAUUCUGUAAGCUAGUCAAGUCCUGUAAUCAUAACCAUGUCGAAAACGAACGGUCCAUGCUUUUUAUUCAAAUUUAUUUUGUUAAUUAUGCCCGCAGAUUCCGGGCGGACCGUCCUUGACCGCUAAGUUAGGUACUUGUCGUUGAAAUAGACAUUAAUAUAAUUAAUUUAAGAAAAUUAUAUAAAUUUUAUUACAAGGCUAAUGCCUAAUUGUGAUUGUCGAUUGUUAUCAAACGACUCGUAUCACAGUUUUUGCUGGUUUUAUGCGUCGUGACGCAACUGAUUUUUUGAAGUGGAGCUUCUAAAGUUUGGAUUUAUCUUGUACCCCCCUCGAGGAAAAAAAAAAGAAAAAGAAGAAAAGAAAAGUAUGACGAUAAGUGCUACUGAAAAGAGCUAAAUAGGCAUUCGAUUGAUUUAAUCUAAAUCGAUCUAAUUUUUGUUGGAUUGACCUUUAAUCGAAUUGGAUUGGAUUGUAAAAUAAAAAUUCAAUGUUAUUAGAUUGAUUUAUGUAUCAACGUGUUAAAAUCCAAUACAACCAAUUAAUUUUUAUUUUCUUUAUUUAUUUUUUAAAAGAGCCAUUCGUUAUUUUUAUAUUUAACUUACUAAAAGAAAUAAAACCUAAUUUUUUUAUAACUAUAAAUAUACAAUAAUAAUACAAUGUACAAACUACAAGUUACAACCAAUGUUUACAUUCAAAUUUCAAUUAUUUUUUUCAACCAUGUAAUAAAAAAAAAAUUUCAAUUAUUUUUUUCAACCAUGUAAUCCAAUGUUUACAUUCAAAUUUCAAUUAUUUUUUUCAACCAUGUAAUAAAAAAAAAAACACAUGAAUCAUGAAAUUUUAAAGGAGUCGACUUUUUUUCUUCAAUUGUUAGUGGUUAGAACUCUUAAGAGCAAUUAACGAUGAUUAUUUAUAAAUUUUUAUUCUAAUUAGAUUAAUCGGAUGAGAUUGAAUUGGAUUUAACUUUAUUAAUUUGAAUUAUAUUGAAUUUCAAUCAACGACCGGAUGGGAUUGAAUUUAAAAUAUAAAAUUUAAUAUAAAAUAAAUUGGACUUAAAUUUAACCAAAUCCAGUGAAUUUAAAUCAUUAAACAACCCUAGUUCUUACCACUUACUAAAGUGGCUUUUUGUGUGUGUAUAUUAUAUAUAAUAUAAAAGUUUUACCGCUUCAAAUAGGACCGUCACUCUCAUCUAUGUACGGUACUCCCAUAUCCAAACUCGAUAAAAGUUCAAUUUCCAUGGAUCACCUAAAUAUUUAUUUAUAUCCGUUUAUUUAAAUGCUCUCUGUCUCACUUCCAUUUGCAAUUUUAUUUUAUUUUAUUUUUAGAUAUAUUAUUUUCUCUGGACUGGACAGAGAAGGAUCUACUGGCCGAGAGGAAUUAGCAAUUACGGGGAGUUGGGCUUGUGGCAAAUGAAACUGAAAAAAGGUUUAUGUGCUCCCUGCAAUUCAAGAGGGAUAUUAUGCUUAACACAAUUAUACAGGAAACAAGACACGGAUAAUCUUCAAAGCAAUAGUUGGCACACUCUUUAGCUUCAUUUAGUUUUAUUUUAUUUAAACAAAACUCAAGUAUCUUAAAAGAGGGAAAAAAAACAACAACAACAGCAGCAGCAGCAGCAGAACACAAACUCUUAUGUUUAGAUACUGACUGUACUUUUUGUUGGUUGCCCAGAAAACCAAACUUUCUUAUAUAAGACAGAAACUAGACUAAGCACGAACCUAAGGGAUAUCAUAUUGAGAUACCAUAUUAUACAGAAGACAGCAGAGGUCACCUUAGACGAAAUCUAAGGCUUCUCGGUGACUGCUGCAGCUUGGUGCCUAGCGGCGAAUCGAUUAACCAAAGCAAGAGCGUUACUAGUGACUUGGGCAACAUUUGUGACCCUUCUCCUGAUCGCAGCCUUUACAUUUCCAUCCAUGAAACGACCAUCAAAACCAUCUAAGCAAGUGUUCUC